rnacentral:rRNA from 1 species
AUUGAACGCUGGCGGCAGGCUUAACACAUGCACGUCGAGCGAGCGGCGGACGGGUGAGUAAUGUCUGGGAAACUGCCUGAUGGAGGGGGAUAACUACUGGAAACGGUAGCUAAUACCGCAUACGAUCAGAUGUGCCCAGAUGGGAGUAGCUAGUAGGUGGGGUAAUGGCUCACCUAGGCGACGAUCCCUAGAUGGUCUGAGAGGCUGACCAGCCACACGGGAACUGAGACACGGUCCAGACUCCUACGGGAGGCAGCAGUGGGGAAUAUUGCACAAUGGGCGCAAGCCUGAUGCAGCCAUGCCGCGUGUGUGAAGAAGGCCUUCGGGUUGUAAAGCACUUUCAGCGAGGAGGCGUUACUCGCAGAAGAAGCACCGGCUAACUCCGUGCCAGCCGCCGCGGUAAUAC